CGUGCUUACACAUGCAAGUCGAGCGGAAAGGCCCUUCGGGGUACUCGAGCGGCGAACGGGUGAGUAACACGUGAGUAACCUGCCCCUGACUCUGGGAUAAGCCUGGGAAACCGGGUCUAAUACCGGAUAUGACACUCCUCCGCAUGGUGUGGGUGUGGAAAGUUUUUUCGGUUGGGGAUGGACUCGCGGCCUAUCAGCUUGUUGGUGGGGUGAUGGCCUACCAAGGCGACGACGGGUAGCCGGCCUGAGAGGGCGACCGGCCACACUGGGACUGAGACACGGCCCAGACUCCUACGGGAGGCAGCAGUGGGGAAUAUUGCGCAAUGGGCGGAAGCCUGACGCAGCGACGCCGCGUGGGGGAUGACGGCCUUCGGGUUGUAAACCUCUUUCAGCAGGGACGAAGUUGACGUGUACCUGUAGAAGAAGCGCCGGCUAACUACGUGCCAGCAGCCGCGGUAAUACGUAGGGCGCGAGCGUUGUCCGGAAUUAUUGGGCGUAAAGAGCUCGUAGGUGGCUUGUUGCGUCUGCCGUGAAAGCCCGUGGCUUAACUACGGGUCUGCGGUGGAUACGGGCAGGCUAGAGGCUGGUAGGGGCAAGCGGAAUUCCUGGUGUAGCGGUGAAAUGCGCAGAUAUCAGGAGGAACACCGGUGGCGAAGGCGGCUUGCUGGGCCAGUUCUGACGCUGAGGAGCGAAAGCUG
rnacentral:rRNA from 1 species